ACGUAGGGGACGAGCGUUGUCCGGAAUUACUGGGCGUAAAGGGCGCGCAGGCUGUUUGACAAGUCAGCUGUUAAAUAUGGGGGCUUAACCCUUAUAUGCGGUUGAAACUAUCAGACUGGAGUGCUGUAGAGGCAAGUGGAAUUCCCAGUGAAGCGGUGAAGUGCGUAGAUAUUGGGAAGAGCGCCGGUGGAGCAGGCGAAUUACUGGGCAUUAACUGACGCUGAGGCGCGAUAGCCAGGGGAGAUAGCGG
rnacentral:rRNA from 1 species